UACGUAGGGGGCAAGCGUUGUCCGGAAUCAUUGGGCGUAAAGAGCGUGUAGGCGGUCCGAUAAGUCGGUUGUGAAAGUCCAGGGCUCAACCCUGGGAUGCCGACCGAUACUGUCGGACUAGAGUUCGGAAGAGGCGAGUGGAAUUCCCGGUGCAGCGGUGAAAUGCGCAGAUAUCGGGAGGAACACCUAUGGCGAAGGCAGCUCGCUGGGACGUUACUGACGCUGAGACGCGAAAGCGUGGGGAGCAAACAGG
rnacentral:rRNA from 1 species